GCCGGUUUAGCUCAGUUGGUAGAGCAGCGCAUUCGUAAUGCGAAGGUCGGGAGUUCAAGUCUUCUAACCGGCA
rnacentral:tRNA from 1 species